rnacentral:tRNA from 1 species
GGGGACUUAGCUCAGCGGUAGAGCGCUUGCCUAGCGAGCACAAGGCCCUGGGUUCGGUCCCCAGCUCCA